rnacentral:rRNA from 1 species
UACGUAGGGUGCAAGCGUUGUCCGGAUUUAUUGGGCGUAAAGAGCGUGUAGGCGGCCUGAAAGGUCAGCUGUGAAAACUCGAGGCUCAACCUCGAGACGUCGGUUGAAACCAUCUGGCUAGAGUCCGGAAGAGGAGUGUGGAAUUCCCGGUGUAGCGGUGAAAUGCGCAGAUAUCGGGAAGAACACCCGUGGCGAAGGCGGCACUCUGGGACGGUACUGACGCUGAGGCACGAAAGCGUGGGGAGCAAACAGG